rnacentral:rRNA from 1 species
UACAGAGGUCUCAAGCGUUGUUCGGAUUCAUUGGGCGUAAAGGGUGCGUAGGCGGCGCGGUAAGUCGGGUGUGAAAUCUUGGAGCUUAACUCCGAAACUGCAUUCGAUACUGCCGUGCUUGAGGACUGGAGAGGAGACUGGAAUUUACGGUGUAGCGGUGAAAUGCGUAGAUAUCAGGAAGAACACCCGUGGCGAAGGCGGCUCUCUGGGACGGUACUGACGCUGAGACGCGAAAGCGUGGGGAGCGAACAGG